CCUACAAUUAUGGUAGCAGUGAAUACCUAGCCAGGUAGCAUAGUAACAACAGAAGCCUAUGAUCUUUAGAAGUAUAUGGUACAAGUUUUAUUGAUGUCAGAUAGCGAAUUGUGCAGCAGAGGAAAGUUAGCUAGGAUACAAAAGCUAAAAAAGGACCCUAGGUGUGUUUAGAGCUGUUAUGUUGAAAAGGUCUGCUCCCCUUGGCCCUGCUACAAGUGAGUAAUUACAGCUCUUAGGAACCUACAGCUCACAGAAGCAACAGAAGCCUAAAUGGAUCUGCUACAUUCAAUUCAUGGACCAGCACUGUGAAGGCAUCUCCCGAUACAAUGUAUCGAACAAAGAACAUUAUAUCACUAUAGUUAUUACUCUAAAGGUGUGUGCUGCUCCUUGCUGUCCUGGCCCCAUACACAAGUGCAAGUGCAGUGGAUCCAGAGUCCCUACACAAGCUAGGAUACACAUCCGCGCUAUCAUUGAAACAACUAGAAGUCACUAAUGGAUCUAAUACAACAACGGUUGUUCAAUUUCAAGUUUGCAGAAUUGAUAAUCACACAAACUUUUCAGUGGUAGUUGGAAAAGGAAGUGGUCCAGUGUACAUUCACAACACUCGUGUGGAUUACCCAGUUUACAAGAAAGGAGACAUCACAAUCACGUACAACCAAGAAUGGUUUCCAGACAAGUUCUGCAAGAGAGUUAAUGUCUAUGUACACGGAGAUGUAGUGAAUAACGGAACAAUGCUACAGUUUGGUUUCUAUCACGCAAACCAGACAAACCCAAAUAUUGUGGAAUAUGAAACAGUGCUUUUCACAGUGGAAGAUGAUGACAACACAACGGAGUCUCUAAGUCAGAGUGGAACAAAAGAUUUUCUGAUGUCAGCAAAGAUUACACUAACUUUUGCCACACUGUGUAUGUGGUGGGGGAUAUGAGGUUGGCGACUCCUAAAGCAAAUGGGAGAAAGAUGGACUCUCCCUCAUUAUGAUUGAUUUUAUUUUUUAUACUCAGUGCCUGAUGCACUCUAUUAUCUAUUUAUGUUCAGUAGACACUUUAGCAACCCCAUCAUGUGUAUUAAGUACCUAUGAUUUUGGCACUAGGGUACUAUAGUCCUCCCAACACACAUCAUUAUCUAUCACAAUUGCAUGACAAUCAUUUUAUGUUGUUUGUGUAUCCUAUACUCUUAAUUAAGCUG